rnacentral:tRNA from 1 species
GGGCUGGGGCUCAGUGGUAGAGCACUUGCCUAACAUGCGUGGGGACCUGGGUUGGAUCCUCAGCACCACA